GCUCGAGUGGCGGAAUGGUAGACGCUGAGGACUUAAAAUCCUUUGCCUGUAAAGGCGUGCGGGUUCGACUCCCGCCUCGAGCACCA
rnacentral:tRNA from 1 species